GGGUUGUGAGGUUAAGCGACUAAGCGUACACGGUGGAUGCCCUGGCAGUCAGAGGCGAUGAAGGACGUGCUAAUCUGCGAUAAGCGCCGGUAAGGUGAUAUGAACCGUUAUAACCGGCGAUUUCCGAAUGGGGAAACCCAGUGUGAUUCGUCACACUAUCAUUAACUGAAUCCAUAGGUUAAUGAGGCGAACCGGGGGAACUGAAACAUCUAAGUACCCCGAGGAAAAGAAAUCAACCGAGAUUCCCCCAGUAGCGGCGAGCGAACGGGGAGGAGCCCAGAGCCUGAAUCAGCAUGUGUGUUAGUGGAAGCGUCUGGAAAGGCGCGCGAUACAGGGUGACAGCCCCGUACACAAAAGCGCAUAUGCUGUGAGCUCGAUGAGUAGGGCGGGACACGUGGUAUCCUGUCUGAAUAUGGGGGGACCAUCCUCCAAGGCUAAAUACUCCUGACUGACCGAUAGUGAACCAGUACCGUGAGGGAAAGGCGAAAAGAACCCCGGCGAGGGGAGUGAAAAAGAACCUGAAACCGUGUACGUACAAGCAGUGGGAGCACCCUUUGGGGUGUGACUGCGUACCUUUUGUAUAAUGGGUCAGCGACUUAUAUUCUGUAGCAAGGUUAACCGAAUAGGGGAGCCGAAGGGAAACCGAGUCUUAAUUGGGCGUUAAGUUGCAGGGUAUAGACCCGAAACCCGGUGAUCUAGCCAUGGGCAGGUUGAA
rnacentral:rRNA from 1 species